AAGUUGAGCUGCUGUUUAUCUUGUUCCUACUACACUAAGUUCUGGAGAUUUAUUUUGAAAACUUACAAAUCACAUGAUGGGUUCCUAGCAUAACGAACUACCUACCACAGCCAUACUUGCUAUAACAUCUUUUACUUUACAUUGAGUUUGAUCGAGCUGUGUAGACCCUUAGGAGCUUUUCAUGUGGUUAAAUUAAGAUAUUCACUUGCACACAUCUACUACACCAUUCAUCACCAAUCAUUAAAAUUGCUAAAAAAUAUUAUCACUCACUACCCCAAAUAUUGUUAUUCUCUCUCUCUAAAAAGAUUCAAUGCAGAAGAGGCAUGGGUUAUGCAAAAAUAUGCGAGGAAAUAAAAAGGGGCAAGUGCCCGGAACCUCGAAAAAGAAAGAAAAAGAGUGAGACGAGAGGUAAAAAUGGACAAGUGUCCGAAGUAGAAUUAGGGGUACAAAGACGCCCACUUGAGAGGUAAAAAUAGACAAGUGUCCGACAGUAGAAUUAGGGGUAUCUACUACCCAUCUAAAAAAAAGAGAAAAAGAUAGCCCAUGUUCUCCCAAAGCAAAGAUCAAAGAGGAGGAGAGAUAGCAAUAUGAGGAACAAUGAGAAGUAAGUUUUAUUAUCACUUAUAUAUCUUCACCAUCACUAUCAUUUACUCCAUCACACAUGCACAUCUUGAUUUAAUUAUAUGUUGAGUUCCUUUGGAUCCAUGGCUCGAUUAGACAACAUAUGUAUGAGCUGUUUUUCACUCCUAUGAGCUCCACUUAAACAUUCCAUUAGCUAUAGGUAAGUGACAUUAUGGUAAGGAUCCACAAAUACCACAUAUAGAGAGACUUGAGAGAUUAUUGCUGGGAACUCUGAGUUUUAUUUUGAAAACUUAUGAAAAACUCUGGAACAAAGGUGAAGUAU
rnacentral:lncRNA from 1 species